CUUGACAUACUCGUGCUAUUCCUAGAGAUAGGAAGUUCCUUCGGGACACGGGAUACAGGUGGUGCAUGGUUGUCGUCAGCUCGUGUCGUGAGAUGUUGGUUAAGUCCGCAACGAGCGCAACCCCUAUUGUUAGUUGCCAUCAUUAAGUUGGGCACUCUAACGAGACUGCCGGUGAUAAACCGGAGGAAGGUGGGGAUGACGUCAAAUCAUCAUGCCCCUUAUGACCUGGGCUACACACGUGCUACAAUGGAUGGUACAACGAGUCGCGAGACAGUGAUGUUUAGCUAAUCUCUUAAAACCAUUCUCAGUUCGGAUUGUAGGCUGCAACUCGCCUACAUGAAGUCGGAAUCGCUAGUAAUCGCGGAUCAGCACGCCGCGGUGAAUACGUUCCCGGGCCUUGUACACACCGCCCGUCACACCACGGGAGUUGGGAGUACCCGAAGUAGGUUGCCUAACCGCAAGGAGGGCGCUUCCUAAGGUAAGACCGAUGACUGGGGUGAAGUCGUAACAAGGUAGGCGUAGCGAG
rnacentral:rRNA from 1 species